GAUUUGAUUUGAACGAGCCUGAAGAUGACGAGCAUGGCAACGGAUUCGAUUUGAACUUGCCACUAGAUGAAUUUGGAGCUGUUGAUUUUGAUUACGUACAAAACCUAGCUGAACAAGAUGUUGAGACUCCCGUUCAAGUACACCCGCCGAAGCAUGACUAUCCUGAACAUGUUAGAAAACAAGUGUACCAAGCAUUGUUGAUGACAAGCAAGAAUGGGAAACUAGGAAAGCAAGAUAUAACAAUUGUUGCC